rnacentral:rRNA from 1 species
CCUACGGGAGGCAGCAGUGAGGAAUAUUGGUCAAUGGUCGCGAGACUGAACCAGCCAAGUCGCGUGAGGGAGGAAGGUUCAGUGUAUCGUAAACCUCUUUUGUCAGGGAAUAAAGUGUGGGACGUGUCCUCUGUUGUGUGUACCUGAUGACUAAGGAUCGGCUAACUCCGUGCCAGCAGCCGCGGUAAUACGGAGGAUUCGAGCGUUAUCCGGAUUUAUUGGGUUUAAAGGGUGCGUAGGCGGCCUUUUAAGUCAGCGGGUAAAGUCUGUGGCCCAACCCUAGAACUGCCGUUGAAACUGGGAGGCUUGAGUAUGAUAGAGGUAGGCGGAAUGCGUGGUGUAGCGGUGAAAUGCAUAGAGAUCACGCAGAACCCCGAUUGCGAAGGCAGCAUGCCAAGCCAAGACUGACGCUGAGGCACGAAAGCGUGGGUAUCAAACAGGAUUAGAUACCCUGGUAGUC